ensembl:lncRNA
GGGGGGAAUCACAUGCCUUGACAGCAAAGAAUGUACGAAAAUAACUCCCCUCAGGAAAACACAGAGAGACGGGAAGUGGAAAUAUUUUUGAUGAUUAUAUAAUGAGCGAUAUGAGAUUUGCGUGCCAGAGUAGUAAGUAUGCUCACUUUCGGGGGUCCAAGGGUUUGGGAGGUUAUGGGGGUCAGACGUUCUCAGGUCGGUCGGGCUGGCCUCAGAAGGUGCUCUCUGCUCCUCAUCAUCAUGUGAACUCUUGUGUUCCCGUCAGAACCUCUCCCCCCUCCCGCAGUGCGUCCCGUGUAAUGCAUGCAGACCCGAGGGGAACCCAACGGCCCUGGGCCCCAGCGGAGAGUGGUGGAAUACAAACUACCCAGACUCUCACAGCAGGGCCGCUGGAAAUACGGCAUUAAAUGACCUCCCGGCGUUUAAAAACCGCCUUCGCAGAAUUGAAUACUACUUGGCUGCCAGUGAAAACUCAAUUUGUAUUCAUUUAUACAAGCGAGCACAUCUACAUAGCGCGGCUCCAAGCGAUCUCCCGGCAGCGGGAACCUCCUCCCGCUAAACGGGAAUUAGAAAUGUGCAACAAAGAGGGAGAUAAAUGCACUUCAGUCCCUGAUAAACGCACUUCAGUCCCUGAUAGAGUUCACUACACACAAGCACACAAUACACCACACACAAGCUUGCGAUACACUGCACACAGCCACACAAUACCCAACCACGGAAUUCAUUACAACAAGCAGCUGUGACCCGUUGCCCUGUUGUGUUUAAUUUGAAACCGAUGACAUCACAUCCGAGUCAUGGCUCCCCCUGUGGACACGGGAAGCAUCGGGAAUGCAUUCUGGGACAUACCAACACUUUUCCCAAAUUCCGUGCAGAACAUCGCCCCCUCUGGUGUCGGUGGCGACACGUGGGACUGCAGAAUGCGCAUGCGCCCACCAGUCUGUGAAUGCUCGGCAUGUUUCAAACACCAGCAGAGAAACCGUUUGAAACGCAUGAAAUGAAAUUGUGUCGCAUCGCCUCAAACACAAAGCAUAGAAGGAGAUCCCACGCCAACCUAUACUCUGUCUGUCUUCAAGCCCCUGCUGCAUCUGGUCCGAGGUCAGUCCUAGGUCAGCAUCUGGCCCUAGGUCAGCUUCUGGUCCCUGGUCAGCAUCUGGCCUUAGAUCCUAGGUCAGCGUCUAGUCCUAGGUCAGCGUCUGGUCCUAGGUCAGCAUCAGGCCCUAGUUUCAGCUUCUGGCCAUAGAUCAGAAUCUGGUCCUUGUUCUAGACUGAACUGUAUUUGUGUCUGUUUAAUUGCUUUUAUUCUUCUUUUUGUUCACUGACCAAUAUAAA